UUGUGCCUACGGGGCGCAGCAGUGGGGAAUUUUGGACAAUGGGCGCAAGCCUGAUCCAGCUAUUCCGCGUGUGGGAUGAAGGCGCUCGGGUUGUAAACCACUUUUGUAGAGAACGAAAAGACACCUUCGAAUAAAGGGCGUUGCUGACGGUACUCUAAGAAUAAGCACCGGCUAACUACGUGCCAGCAGCCGCGGUAAUACGUAGGGUGCGAGCGUUAAUCGGAAUUACUGGGGGUAAAGG
rnacentral:rRNA from 1 species